GCCAGGCCUGGUGGCGCAUGCCAGUAAUCCCAGCGGCUUGGGAGGCUGAGGCAGGAGGAUCACAAGUUCAAAGUGAGCCCCAGCAAUCAACAAAACCCUGUCUCUA
rnacentral:sRNA from 1 species